CCAUAUACCGUUGGAACACCGGUUCCCGUACGAUCACCUAAGUUAAGCAACGUUGAGCCUGGUCAGUACCUAGAUGGAUGACUGCUUGGAAAUAACAGGUGCU